GACGAACGCUGGCGGCGUGCCUAAUACAUGCAAGUUGAGCGCUGAAGGUUGGUACUUGUACCAACUGGAUGAGCAGCGAACGGGUGAGUAACGCGUGGGGAAUCUGCCUUUGAGCGGGGGACAACAUUUGGAAACGAAUGCUAAUACCGCAUAAAAACUUUAAACACAAGUUUUAAGUUUGAAAGAUGCAAUUGCAUCACUCAAAGAUGAUCCCGCGUUGUAUUAGCUAGUUGGUGAGGUAAAGGCUCACCAAGGCGAUGAUACAUAGCCGACCUGAGAGGGUGAUCGGCCACAUUGGGACUGAGACACGGCCCAAACUCCUACGGGAGGCAGCAGUAGGGAAUCUUCGGCAAUGGGCGAAAGUCUGACCGAGCAACGCCGCGUGAGGGAAGAAGGUUUUCGGAUCGUAAAACUCUGUUGGUAGAGAAGAACGUUGGUGAGAGUGGAAAGCUCAUCAAGUGACGGUAACUACCCAGAAAGGGACGGCUAACUACGUG
rnacentral:rRNA from 1 species